CAGUCGCCACGGGAAUACGAAGGGGGCUAGCGUUGCUCGGAAUGACUGGGCGUAAAGGGCGCGUAGGCGGAUUGUUUAGUUAGGCGUGAAAUUCCUGGGCUUAACCUGGGGACUGCGCUUAAUACAGGCAGUCUAGAGUGAGGAAGAGGGCUGUGGAAUUCCCAGUGUAGAGGUGAAAUUCGUAGAUAUUGGGAAGAACACCGGUGGCGAAGGCGGCAACCUGGUCCUUGACUGACGCUGAGGCGCGAAAGCGUGGGGAGCAAACAGGAUUAGAUACCCGGGUAGUCCCUGUCUCUUAUAC
rnacentral:rRNA from 1 species